UGACCUCCAGACUGCCCCUCGGGCUCCAGACGCUCCCCGAACUUCUCCGGGAUGUCAUUAAACCAGAGUGAGAUGCACAUCUCAGGAAAUCAGCUCAGAAAUUGCAACGGCAGAAAAAAAAAA